UACGUAGGGUGCGAGCGUUAAUCGGAAUUACUGGGCGUAAAGCGUGCGCAGGCGGUUUUGUAAGACAGAUGUGAAAUCCCCGGGCUCAACCUGGGAACUGCGUUUGUGACUGCAAGACUCGAGUGCGGCAGAGGGGGGUGGAAUUCCACGUGUAGCAGUGAAAUGCGUAGAGAUGUGGAGGAACACCGAUGGCGAAGGCAGCCCCCUGGGCCUGUACUGACGCUCAUGCACGAAAGCGUGGGGAGCAAACAGG
rnacentral:rRNA from 1 species